GCUUAGUACGGCGAGUGAGCGGCAAAAGCUCAAAUUUGAAAUCUGGUACCUUCGGUGCCCGAGUUGUAAUUUGGAGAGGGCAACUUUGGGGCCGUUCCUUGUCUAUGUUCCUUGGAACAGGACGUCAUAGAGGGUGAGAAUCCCGUGUGGCGAGGAGUGCGGUUCUUUGUAAAGUGCCUUCGAAGAGUCGAGUUGUUUGGGAAUGCAGCUCUAAGUGGGUGGUAAAUUCCAUCUAAAGCUAAAUAUUGGCGAGAGACCGAUAGCGAACAAGUACAGUGAUGGAAAGAUGAAAAGAACUUUGAAAAGAGAGUGAAAAAGUACGUGAAAUUGUUGAAAGGGAAGGGCAUUUGAUCAGACAUGGUGUUUUGUGCCCUCUGCUCCUUGUGGGUAGGGGAAUCUCGCAUUUCACUGGGCCAGCAUCAGUUUUGGUGGCAGGAUAAAUCCAUAGGAAUGUAGCUUGCCUCGGUAAGUAUUAUAGCCUGUGGGAAUACUGCCAGCUGGGACUGAGGACUGCGACGUAAGUCAAGGAUGCUGGCAUAAUGGUUAUAUUCCGCCCCUCUUG
rnacentral:rRNA from 1 species